AAGUCAAAUUUAGAUAUAAAUUACAUUCUAUCUAUCUACUUGUAAUAUAUUUUCAAUGAAUGAUUGACUUGGUGGAUAUGCCAUUGGAAUUAUGGAGCACAAUAUAUCUUAUUUUAAUAAAAAAAAAACUCUCAAAUUAUAUUGAAGACAAAGCUUUGAAGACCAAGAUUACAGAUUGGAGUGUAUAGAUUCAUCUUUAAAGAUACUUUUAGUAGAUAUAGUAGAAUUGAAAGAAUAAUAGUUGAUGAAGAAGAAUUGAAUGCAAUAGAAGUUAGAGAUUUUUUUCAAAGAUAUGGUGUAAAAUUGAAGCUAACAACUACUUAUAAUCUUGAAGCUAAUAGUAAAAGUGAGAGAUGACAUCUUUCUAUAACAAAUGUUCUUAUUAAGAUUU
rnacentral:lncRNA from 1 species